CAAAAAAUAUGACUAUGGAUAUAGAUCGCCUGACUUAGAUAACCGGUCUAUAAGAUUUUAGUAUAAUUAUAAAAAAUAAAAAUCUUACCCUAUGUAAUAAAAACCUACCCCUCAACCCGCACGCCGCUCUCCCUUCCCCUCUUUUUUCUCUCUCCACUUUCUCUUCUCAUCUCCAUUCCUCUUUCUCUCCUCUCCUCUCAUCUCAUCUUCUCAAACUAAAAAUAAAAAUCAUAAUUAGGCAAGUAAAUCUAUUUUUCGGUUUUAAAUCAAGAUCAACGCAUGGUCAUUUGUAUCAUUUCCCUCAAAGUUUCAAAAAUUAAAUUCGAUUGCAUUCAAUCUAGAUUUGAGAAUUGCAGAUCGAAGAAAUGUGGAGGGUUUGGAGCCGGAAAAUGAAUUCAAUGGAUUUCAUUCAAAUCAGUUUCAAUGAACUGGUAAUGCUUCACUGCAACGCCGCCGUAGAUCGAGCCGGAUAAGCCGUCGUCGUUUAAUUUGGAUGCGUUGUAAUGAGGUGUUGCUGCUAUGAAACGGAUUAUAAAGUCUAAAGAUGCAUAAAGGUGUUUGGUGCGACUUCUUUAGAGGUUGGUGGAGGCUAUGCGGUGGUUGAGAUUGGUGGAAGCGCUGCUAGUGGUGUGGUUGGUGCAGAGGUUUCGACUUUCGAUGGCAAUUCAAGUCGAUGCACUUCUAAAGUCGUUGUUAGCACAUUGAAAAUUAAUUAGUUGUGUUAGAAAACUUGUAUUGUAAUUUUUUUUCCUUAAAGAAUUUAGUUAUUAUCAUUCA